GAUGAACGCUGGCGGCGUGCCUAAUACAUGCAAGUCGAGCGAAUGGAUUAAGAGCUUGCUCUUAUGAAGUUAGCGGCGGACGGGUGAGUAACACGUGGGUAACCUGCCCAUAAGACUGGGAUAACUCCGGGAAACCGGGGCUAAUACCGGAUAAUAUUUUGAACUGCAUGGUUCAAAAUUGAAAGGCGGCUUCGGCUGUCACUUAUGGAUGGACCCGCGUCGCAUUAGCUAGGUGGUAAGGUAACGGGUCCCCAAGGCAACGAUGCGUAGCCGACCUGAGAGGGUGAUCGGCCACACUGGGACUGAGACACGGCCCAGACUCCUACGGGAGGCAGCAGUAGGGAAUCUUCCGCAAUGGACGAAAGUCUGACGGAGCAACGCCGCGUGAGUGAUGAAGGCUUUCGGGUCGUAAAACUCUGUUGUUAGGGAAGAACAAGUGCUAGUUGAAUAAGCUGGCACCUUGACGGUACCUAACCAGAAAGCCACGGCUAACUACGUGCCAGCCGCCGCGGUAA
rnacentral:rRNA from 1 species